rnacentral:rRNA from 1 species
AACGAACGCUGGCGGCGUGCCUAACACAUGCAAGUCGAGCGCGAAUGGAGCAAUCCUAGUAGAGCGGCGCACGGGUGCGUAACACGUGGGUAAUCUGCCUCAAAGCCCGGGAUAACCUGCCGAAAGGCAAGCUAAUACCGGAUAAGCCUACGGACUCUUCGGGGUCUGAAGGAAAAGGUGGCCUCUGUAUACAAGCUAUCACUUUGAGAUGAGCCCGCGGCCCAUCAGCUCGUUGGCGGGGU